CCUUCGGGACAUCCGAUAAAAUUGGAACGAUACAGAGAAGAUUAGCAUGGCCCCUGCGCAAGGAUGACACGCAUAAAUCGAGAAAUGGGUUCCAUUGCAGAAGCCAGAAGGUGUUUUCUCAGAAUUUGUGGUUGAUGGAGAUGGAUGGGUACUCUUGAAUUUGUUAUUUUGAAUGCAGAUAAUUGGAUGGGUAGUCUUGAUUGUAAGGUGCCUCCAGAGCUCAUUAUGAAGAGUUAUUACGAGAUCUCUUAGAAUUCUUUUUAAAUUUGAAAUUUUUAAAUUCAUAAAUUUCAGCUAUCUACAUUAUCUAAGCGUCUAAAAUAAGUCAUGUUUCAGAAUUGAAUGAGGAAGUUACUCUCAUCAAUCUCAUUAAAUGAGGAAGUUACUCUCAUCCAUCGCAGUAAAUUUUGAAACAUGACUUAUUUUAGACGCUUAAAUGAUAUAGACAGCUGAGAUUUAUGAAUUUAAGAAUCUCAAAUUUAAAAUGCCCGUAGAAAAACUAUAAGCACCAUAUAUGGUGAAUAGUAUCUUCCUAUAUAUCAUAUGAUGUUUGUUGUAAUUGUCACCUUUUUUUCUUUUAAUCGUUAUAUUUUAUUACAUAAUUGUUUGUUUCACUGACGAUGUUUUCAAUUUUGGCGGACUACUUUUACCUUAUUAUUUUGUAUUCGAAGCCUUGUUAUGUCCUUUCUAUGGUUUCCCUCUGCUUGCCGUCCCAUGCAAAAUGUUGAUGCCACUUCCAAGACCCUAAAAUCCACACACCCCCAAAUACUACACAAAUCCCUCCCUCUGCUUGACCAGCUCACACUUCCAAGCUUCUCUCAUUUCUUCAAUCCAAUUUUCUUUUCACCAUUUCUUGUAAACAAAGCAAUAGAGAGGCAUCAUAACCAUGAAGAGCAAAUCAAACGAGCAAAGCAAGUUGAUGCACUACAUCUACAUGUUAUCACCCAUUAGGAUCCUAACGAAGGCCACAGAGUUUUACGUGAAAAGCAUGGUGGAUUGUGCGGGAAGAGCGGGACAUGGUGCUGCGGUGGGCAACCCUAUUGCACGAGUCUCACGCUUGCCUAAUCACGAUGAGGUUUUGAGGCAGCUUCUUAGAAAGGCUUCGAAGAGAAAUAUGGACAAUAAGGUGAGCUUUGAUAUGCAUAGGCAACAAGAGGUUAGGAGUUACAGUGUUGGGUUGGGAAAGAUUGGGAGAAUUGAUGAGGACAAGCCUUGUUAUUUUGAGGAAGAUGAUGUCAAUGCGAAGAGAAGAAGUUAUGGUGUUAAGAGGAGUUAGUGAUGGAUUAGAUACUAAAAUCAAACAUGCAUGGGAAGGGAUAAAGCUAGUGAUUAGAGAGAUUGAGCUUUGGGUCUAUGGGCCAGCUAAAUUAUUAUUAGUGAUUAGUUAUGGUGUGCAUAGUGUUAAAUUAUUCUUUGUAAGUUAAAACUAAUAGAAAUAAAUGAAUUUAAUAAUUUAAUUUAUAUUCUAACAUUUU